ACCAAGAGAGAUAUAUAAAACAAAACAACCAUCAAUGGCGGGGUGGAAGGAUGACGAUGUAGUGCCCGAGUGUCAAGUAGCCAAUUUGGACGUCAUUUCCAGCGUAACCCUAUGGCGUCAGCAACCCUUACUGCCGUCAGGAAUGUGUUAAGAAUAUGAAGAAAGACAGAC